GUGCACGCUGGCGGUCGGCCUCACACAUGCAAGUCGCACGGCAGCACAGUAAGAGCUUGCUCUUACGGGUGGCGAGUGGCGGACGGGUGAGGAAUACAUCGGAAUCUACUUUUUCGUGGGGGAUAACGUAGGGAAACUUACGCUAAUACCGCAUACGACCUACGGGUGAAAGCAGGGGAUCUUCGGACCUUGCGCGAUUGAAUGAGCCGAUGUCGGAUUAGCUAGUUGGCGGGGUAAAGGCCCACCAAGGCGACGAUCCGUAGCUGGUCUGAGAGGAUGAUCAGCCACACUGGAACUGAGACACGGUCCAGACUCCUACGGGAGGCAGCAGUGGGGAAUAUUGGACAAUGGGCGCAAGCCUGAUCCAGCCAUACCGCGUGGGUGAAGAAGGCCUUCGGGUUGUAAAGCCCUUUUGUUGGGAAAGAAAAGCAGCAGGUUAAUACCCCGCUGUUCUGACGGUACCCAAAGAAUAAGCACCGGCUAACUUCGUG
rnacentral:rRNA from 1 species